rnacentral:piRNA from 1 species
UGUAUUAAAGGUUGCAGCAUUAGG